AUUGAACGCUGGCGGCAUGCCUUACACAUGCAAGUCGAACGGCAGCGGGCCUUCGGGUGCCGGCGAGUGGCGAACGGGUGAGUAAUGCAUCGGAACGUGCCAUUGAGUGGGGGAUAACGUAGCGAAAGUUACGCUAAUACCGCAUAUUCUGUGAGCAGGAAAGCAGGGGGACCGCAAGGCCUUGCGCUCUUUGAGCGGCCGAUGUCAGAUUAGCUAGUUGGUGAGGUAAAGGCUUACCAAGGCGACGAUCUGUAGCGGGUCUGAGAGGAUGAUCGCCACACUGGAACUGAGACACGGUCCAGACUCCUACGGGAGGCAGCAGUGGGAAUUUUGGACAAUGGGCGCAAGCCUGAUCCAGCCAUGCCGCGUGAGUGAAG
rnacentral:rRNA from 1 species